CUUGAAAGGGAUAUUCGUCUUAGCUAUUCACAGUUAACUCUUACGGGAAAUCAAGGGUGGCUCCCGGGGAAGUUCUCUGCGGCGGCGCCGUAGUUGUUGGCUGUCCGGCGCCCGCCUGCGCAUUCGCUUUUCAGUGCACACGCCCCAUUCCGGAACCCCGGCUCCCGCCAAGCCCUCGCGUUUUUCCCGGGAGCGAGGCGGCUGGCCACGGCGCCCCGGGACCUGUAGGUCGGAUAGGGCAAGGGGCGCCCCGACCGGCUGCCGCUGGCCCUCGCCACCUGUUGGAAUGGUAAAGCCCAAGACCUUGCGCUGCCUGUGGCGGCGGCGACGCGCGGCUACAGGCGGACUCGCGCUUCAGCGGCCAAAGGGAAUCCCAGCCGCGGGUUUCCGUUGAUAAGUGUAAAGAACAACCCUCUCGGUGCUAAGUGCACAGUAAGUGCGAACAAUAAAUGGAUCAUUUCCCGGGGCAUCUGUCUUGAAAAGGCCCCUGCUGUUCAGAGCCCGUAGGGGCUUAUUGAUUAGUGUGGGCGCCCGCGCCCUCCCUCCACGCCCCCUCUCGCCUGUGAGAGGGUACGAAGCCUCUGUCACCGCCUGGCGCGGCGUCUGGCUCUUGCUAGGGGACUGACAAUAAGGACCAUCAAGCCUCUCAGAAACCUCCCCACACCCUUAAGGCCACACCACCCUGCCGGCGGAAGCCUUGGAAUCCAUGAAGACCCCAGGCUUAAAGAGUGCCUGCGUGAGAGUGCGCGCGUGUGAGGCUUGGUCUGCCUAUCUCGGUUACCACAGUAGAGCCGAGGAGGGAAACGAGUGGGGAAGAGAAGACGGUUCGUGUCUUGUAUCCAUUUGAAUUUAGAAUUUCCUUUAAAAACUAGGUUACAGAACAAAGUGAGUGAAAACUUAAGACCCCCUCCCCCCACUCUCGCGGGGAGCUCUAGUUCCGGAACUGCACGGGCCUCGCUUUUCUGCGGGCAGCGCCAGCGGGUAGGGUGCACACGGCGCUCGCAGCUGAGGUCCCGCAGCCGCGGUCGGGGGAGCCGGAGCCUCCUUGUGGCUCCGAGGCUCGGCGACGCACGCCCCCUCUCGCGCUCCGCCCCGCGCGCGGUCCCGGGCCCUAGCCGUCCUCGGCAGCCGCGCCUCCCACCGCUUCCUCACCCCGGGGCGUAAUCUCCAAUCCACCCUGACCUCAGGCCUCGGCCUGCGCCCGGGCCAGUGGUCCGCCCUUCCAGAGCACUCCGGGACGGGGCGGGGCGGGGUGGAGGUGGCAGAACAGGCUGCGCUUGCGACGCGAUUCCGCACGGGUUUGUUUCGUGACCUUGAUCACGUCCCCGCCUUAACCUCCUCAAAGUUACAACUGGGAUAAUCUUUGCCGGACUCGCCCGCCGGGUGGUGGGGUAAUAGAUUGCGGCGGGAAGGCAGAGAGACUGUCAACUGUCCCGCUGUGUGCCUGUUCACAGCCCGCCCCAGAUAUUUGGAGGUGGAGGUUGAGGUAUUCAGGCCCUGGCCUGCGGCCUCCGGGAGGAACUGGGCUCGUGGACGUUUAGGCUCCUUGGGGCCCGCAGCGUUUCCGGAAGAGCGCCGGGUUGGGGCACAGGGCGCCCUUGGCAACGUUGGCCGCAUUGCCCCAUCCCGGCCCGAAGCAGAGCUGCCGGGCCCGGCACGUCCCGCAGACUCAGGCUUGGCCCCGCGCCCCGUACUCGGCUCCGGGCUGACCCCUCCACCUCAUCGCGGCGGUGGGCAGCAGCCAUGGGACUCCGCAACCCGCGGCAGGAGCCGAACGUCGGCCUCCGCAACCUAGGCUGAAAGGGAAGCCGUGUGCGUUGUCCUGAAGCGCAGACGCGAUGGAGACCACCCAGAGCCGCGCAGGAGAUCCAGCCUCAGAGAAGGCAUUGGUUUCUGACUUUGCCAAACCCAGGCGGAGAGUCUCUCCAGGAAGAAAUCAACUUUUUCUCCCAGAAGUCUCCCAACCUUUCACAAAAAUAUAAAACCGUCUGGAAAAUGAAGCAUCUACCUGGACGGAGGGACACAGUUGAAAAUAAAAGAUUUGUUAGCAAUAGAAUUCAAAGGACGAAAGAAUCUGUGUGAUGCUACAGAUGAAAGCUCUACCCAGAGCCAUAUAUUCAAGGGCAAAGAUUAUGUUUUAUAAUGAGAAGCAGCAUGAUAUGAUGGAAGGAGGUGAAGUUUUGCAGUUAAACAGAUUGUCCCAUCUUAUGGACAGUGAAACUGAGAAUUAAUCAGAUGAAGUAACUUGUCCAGUCAUACUGCUGUUAAGUGAUGGAGUCUGGAUGAGAAUCCAGGGCAUAUAGCCAGAUGACUAUAUACCAGAGCGUCUUAUACCAAGGUGCAGCCAGAAGACUGAGUUCUCUUCAAUGGAAGGAAAAGUGGUGAUACGUAGCGUUUCUGAGCUUGGUGCAUAAAAAAUCUCCCAUGAUAGGCUCUCUAUGCUCUUUUCCUUCACAUGAAUUGAUGCAGAGGGAUAUGGCAACAUUAGAAAUUGUAUGUUGAAGCUGGUGGAGCCACAAUAUGGAAGGAGCCUAGGACCCUGAAUCAGUGCCCAGAGGCGAGCCCCAGUUAAUCAGGAACACUCAUUUUGACGAGCCCACAUAUCCCCCCAUCUCCACCUUGACACUGGAAUUCUGAUUAAAAUGAAACAGCAAUAGAACAGAGGUCAAGAACUUGGAAGGAUUCAUAUGGAGGAAACCAGAAAGAAGUGAUCCCAAAGCAAAGCUGGUUUUCAGCAGCCUCUCCGCUCCCAAAUGCGACUGGCAUCAAAGUCUAAUGAAAACCUGUUUGCGGACACUGGAUCCAAUCCAAGAUUAAAAACAAGAACAUGGACAGUCUCUGAGGUUUUUAAUGAAGGAACUGAGGAAGAAUAACCAGAGUUGUGCUUAUUCAAGUAAACGGAACCCAGUGGUGAUAAAACAAGAUCCUUUGCUGAGGGAAUUCUCUUUUGUAAACUAGACUCUACAUCAAGUGAUUCCAAAGCCUGAUCCCAACCUUGUCACCAACUUGACCCCUCUUCCAACCUCAUUAGUCAAGCAAAACUCCUUCUGGUGACAAUCUGAAGCAAACUGUUUAGCUCUAAGGGCUGGAUAUUAUAAUGAUUUUACCCUGUAGCCUGACUUGUAACUACAGUUGUCUGGGACCCUCACACAUCUUCUUUUUCAGAUAGUUCCCUUGCAUUUAUCUUUGCUCCUCCUCCACAGCUGCUUUCCCCUCCUCAUUAAAGAUUUAAGAGCAGCUAACUAUGGAGAGGUGCUCAUAUGGCUGAAGUUUUACGAGUUUUGUAAAAGACAGUGUGGCAUACUCAUGUUCCCAAGCAUUACAAAUAAAACUAGAAUGCAUUUAGCAAUAUUAAAGGAAGAAUGGUGAGGAAAACACUAUACUAGGAAUCAGGACACUUACAUUCUUAUAUCUUCUCAUCCAUGAGCACUGUCAUUAAACUGGUCAUUUAAUGACAUUUUUUCCUGCCUCCAUUUCCUUCUCUGAAAGAAAUAAGAGCUGUGCUAACCAUGAUCUUUCCAGAGUGAGUUGUCUAUGAAUCUAAAUCUGUUCACAAAACUAUCUUUAUUUUUUU